UACGUAGGGUGCGAGCGUUGUCCGGAAUUAUUGGGCGUAAAGAGCUCGUAGGCGGUGUGUCACGUCGGCCCGUGAAAACCUGCAGCUUAACUGUGGGCGUGCGGUCGAUACGGGCAUCACUGGAGUUCGGCAGGGGAGACUGGAAUUCCUGGUGUAGCGGUGAAAUGCGCAGAUAUCAGGAGGAACACCGGUGGCGAAGGCGGGUCUCUGGGCAACAACUGACGCUGGAGGAGCGAAAGCCGUGGGGAGCGAACAGG
rnacentral:rRNA from 1 species